GGCGGCGUGCCUAAUACAUGCAAGUCGAGCGAAUCAAUGGGAGCUUGCUCCCAUUGGUUAGCGGCGGACGGGUGAGUAACACGUGGGCAACCUGCCUGUAAGACUGGGAUAACUUCGGGAAACCGGAGCUAAUACCGGAUAAUCCUUUCCCUCACAUGAGGGAAAGCUGAAAGUCGGUUUCGGCUGACACUUACAGAUGGGCCCGCGGCGCAUUAGCUAGUUGGUGAGGUAACGGCUCACCAAGGCGACGAUGCGUAGCCGACCUGAGAGGGUGAUCGGCCACACUGGGACUGAGACACGGCCCAGACUCCUACGGGAGGCAGCAGUAGGGAAUCUUCCGCAAUGGACGAAAGUCUGACGGAGCAACGCCGCGUGAGCGAAGAAGGCCUUCGGGUCAUAAAGCUCUGUUGUUAGGGAAGAACAAGUAUCGGAGUAACUGCCGGUACCCUGACGGUACCUAACCAGAAAGCCACGGCUAACUACGUGCCAGCAGCCGCGGUAAUACGUAGGUGGCAAGCGUUGUCCGGAAUUAUUGGGCGUAAAGCGCGCGCAGGCGGUCCUUUAAGUCUGAUGUGAAAGCCCACGGCUCAACCGUGGAGGGUCAUUGGAAACUGGGGGACUUGAGUGCAGAAGAGGAAAGCGGAAUUCCACGUGUAGCGGUGAAAUGCGUAGAGAUGUGGAGGAACACCAGUGGCGAAGGCGGCUUUCUGGUCUGUAACUGACGCUGAGGCGCGAAAGCGUGGGGAGCAAACAGGAUUAGAUACCCUGGUAGUCCACGCCGUAAACGAUGAGUGCUAAGUGUUAGAGGGUUUCCGCCCUUUAGUGCUGCAGCUAACGCAUUAAGCACUCCGCCUGGGGAGUA
rnacentral:rRNA from 1 species